rnacentral:miRNA from 1 species
AGUGUGGGAUUUAAAGUUGUGU